GGCCCAAACUUGAAGUAAGGUAGAUUAGUAAGGUCAGCUAAUCCUACUGUUCUACUGUACUUCGAAAUUGGACCC
rfam:Haemonchus contortus, ISE/inbred ISE, WGS project CAVP01000000 data, contig: Hcontortus_8421